UGAUUAAGCAGCGUCGAAAUCAAAAAGAAAAAAAUAUAAUAACUCUGGUAGUUAGUAGCAAAGCUUGUAUUUUGUGGCUUUGGUGAUUGUGUAUAGUACACAUUAUCUAAAUGUGUAAUUGUACACAGUUCAGUACAGAUUUAUCUGUAGCUUUAGUUGUUCGUUUUUCAUGUCUGAAAGAGUGAAAUGACUUUAAUUUAUUUAAACAGUAAAUAAUUUUUUAUGUAACCGUGCUCUUCUUGGCCGGAUUCAAAUUUA